rnacentral:rRNA from 1 species
GGUACUUGUACCGACUGGAUGAGCAGCGAACGGGUGAGUAACGCGUGGGGAAUCUGCCUUUGAGCGGGGGACAACAUUUGGAAACGAAUGCUAAUACCGCAUAAAAACUUUAAACACAAGUUUUAAGUUUGAAAGAUGCAAUUGCAUCACUCAAAGAUGAUCCCGCGUUGUAUUAGCUAGUUGGUGAGGUAAAGGCUCACCAAGGCGAUGAUACAUAGCCGACCUGAGAGGGUGAUCGGCCACAUUGGGACUGAGACACGGCCCAAACUCCUACGGGAGGCAGCAGUAGGGAAUCUUCGGCAAUGGACGAAAGUCUGACCGAGCAACGCCGCGUGAGUGAAGAAGGUUUUCGGAUCGUAAAACUCUGUUGGUAGAGAAGAACGUUGGUGAGAGUGGAAAGCUCAUCAAGUGACGGUAACUACCCAGAAAGGGACGGCUAACUACGUGCCAGCAGCCGCGGUAAUACGUAGGUCCCGAGCGUUGUCCGGAUUUAUUGGGCGUAAAGCGAGCGCAGGUGGUUUAUUAAGUCUGGUGUAAAAGGCAGUGGCUCAACCAUUGUAUGCAUUGGAAACUGGUAGACUUGAGUGCAGGAGAGGAGAGUGGAAUUCCAUGUGUA